GUCUCUGUGGUGCAAUUGGAGAGCGCAUUCGGCUGUUAACUGAAAGGUUGGUGGUUCGAGCCCACCCAGGGAUG